rnacentral:rRNA from 1 species
GCGAAAACUUUACAAUGCUGGCAACAGCGAUAAGGGGACCUCGAGUGCCAGGUUACAAAUCUGGCUGUCGAGAUGCCUAAAAAGCAUUUCAUAGCAAGGGCCGGGCAAGACCGGUGCCAGCCGCCGCGGUAACACCGGCGGCUCGAGUGGUAACCGUUAUUAUUGGGUCUAAAGGGUCUGUAGCCGGCCGGAUAAGUCUAUUGAGAAAUCUGGCAGCUUAACUGUCAGGCUUUCAGGAGAUACUGUCUGGCUCGAGGCCGGGAGAGGUGAGAGGUACUUCAGGGGUAGGGGUGAAAUCUUGUAAUCCUUGAAGGACCACCAGUGGCGAAGGCGUCUCACCAGAACGGACCUGACGGCAAGGGACGAAAGCUAGGGGCACGAACC